GAUAAACGCUGGCGGCGUGGAUAAGGCAUGCAAGUCGAAUGGGUUUAGACCCAUGGCAAACGGGUUCGGAUAACAUAGGAAUUUACCUCGAAGUCGCGGAUAAUCUGGAGAAAUCCAGGAUAAUACGCGAUAUGUUCUACGGAAUAAAGAUUUAUCGCUUCGGGAGAAGCCUGUGUCCUAUCAGCUUGUUGGUGAGGUAAUAGCUCACCAAGGCUAUGACGGGUAGGGGGUGUGAGAGCACGGCCCCCAACAUUGGAACUGAGACACUGUCCAAACACCUACGGGUGGCUGCAGUCGAGAAUAUUCCACAAUGGGCGAAAGCCUGAUGGAGCGACGCCGCGUGCAGGAUGACGGUCUUCGGAUUGUAAACUGCUUUUCUCAGGGAAGAACGCAAGUGACUGUACCUGAGGAAUAAGAGGUUACUAACUCUGUGCCAGCAGUAGCGGUAAUACAGAGACCUCAAGCGUUAUCCGGAUUUAUUGGGCGUAAAGCGCAGGUAGGCGGGUUUGUUAGUCGUGUGUUAAAGCUUGGGGCUUAACCCCAAAGAUGCACACGAAACGGCAAGUCUGGAGGAUGUGAGAGAUCAGUGGAAUUUAUGGUGUAGUAGUGAAAUGCGUUGAUAUCAUAAAGAACACCCAAGGCGAAGGCAACUGAUUGGCACAUUUCUGACGCUGAGCUGCGAAAGCGUGGGUAGCGAAUAGGAUUAGAUACCCUAGUAGUCCACGCCCUAAACGAUGCAUAUUAGGUGCAGGGAGAAUCGACCCUUUCUGUGCCGUAGCUAACGCGUUAAAUAUGCCGCCUGGGAAGUACGAGCGCAAGCUUAAAACUCAAAGGAAUAGACGGGGAUCCGCACAAGUGGUGGAGCAUGUGGUUUAAUUCGACGGUAAGCGAGGCACCUCACCAGGGUUUGAAAUCUAGCUGGAGAUCUCAGAAAUGAGAAGUCCUUCGAGGCCGCUAGACCAGGUGCUGCAUGGUUGUCGUCAGCUCGUGUCGUAAGAUGUUCCGUUCAGUCGGGAAACGAGCGCAACCCCUGUGAAGUGUUAUAUAUGUCACUUCAGACUGCCCUCUCAUUUGGCCAGAAACGAAAGUUUGUGGGCAGGUGAGAGGGAGGAAGGCGGGGAUGACGUCAAAUCAGCAUGGCCCUCUGACACCCUGGGCGACACACGUGCUACAAUGGCCGGAAUAAAGGGUCGCCAAACCGCAAGGUGGAGCCAAUCCCAAAAAUUCGGUCUCAGUUCGGAUUGAAGGCUGCAACUCGCCUUCAUGAAGCUGGAAUCACUAGUAAUCGUGGAUCAGCCAUGCCACGGUGAAUGCGUUCUCGGAUCUUGUACUCACCGCCCGUCACACCAAGAGAGCGGGCAAUACCAGAAGGCCCCGGGUUAAAUCGGGGACGACGGUAGGGUUCGUAAUAAGGGUGAAGUCGUAACAAGGUAAAU
rnacentral:rRNA from 1 species